rnacentral:rRNA from 1 species
AUGGCAAAGUGCCUCGCCGUCGCGCUCCUCCUACUGGUGGCGCUCGCGUACUGCGACGGGAGGGAGCUGAACCAGAAGGAUCAGGCACUAGCAACGGCACGCGGUGCCGGUGCUGGUGGUGCUGUCGACGAGUCCAAAGCACUAGGGCUGCCAGACCUGCCGCUUGUCGGAACCGUUACCGGUACCAGCACCAUUACCGGCCCGCUGGUGGUGCUUCCUGGGAUCCCUGCUCACCCAUGA